UACGGGGGGGGCAAGCGUUGUUCGGAAUUACUGGGCGUAAAGGGCUCGUAGGCGGCCAACUAAGUCAGACGUGAAAUCCCUCGGCUUAACUGGGGAACUGCGUCUGAUACUGGAUGGCUUGGAUUUGGGAGAGGGAUGCGGAAUUCCAGGUGUAGCGGUGAAAUGCGUAGAUAUCUGGAGGAACACCGGUGGCGAAGGCGGCAUCCUGGACCAAUAUUGACGCUGAGGAGCGAAAGCCAGGGGAGCAAACGGG
rnacentral:rRNA from 1 species